CACAGCCAGAGCAGAGUGGAAGGGUUGGGGGAGGCGAUAAAGACAGAUGUUUCCGUAUUACCAUUUUUCUUUCAUGGUCCGAGGGAGCUGCCCUUCCCCCAAGCCCAGGAAAGUGAAAAGAGAAGCAGGAACAGUAAAAUACUCCACAGGAAAGAAAAAUCUUAGUGAUCCCUCCUGCUGUCUCUUUCCUUUUGCCUAUUCUGGCAAAUUUUGUAAGUGAAAUUUGUUACCAAGAUGUGAAAAUCUUAUAAGAAAGUCUCUAAAUAUUUGAGAAUAAAAUUAUCAAUGUCUCAGCUCUGCAGGCUGAAAAAACGGAGGCUUUACAAAAUAAAAUCAUGCUUGGAAAACUUCUCCUCUGAGGGAUGUCAAAGGCUGCACUGAAUAAGCUCUAAGGUGGUGCUGAAAUGAGUCAUUUAUUUGCCUGUGUAAGCUCAGGCAGGUGUUGGAAUUGAGGAAGUAUAGGUAAUGAAAAAAGUAAACAUGUCCUCGGGACAUAGCGACUGGUGAUGACCACACAAUCAACACAAUAAACUCUAGCAUUCACAUUGUAGUCCAGCUCAUUCAAGCAAAGCUAUCUCCAAUAGGGAGUUUACCCUGUACAGAACACGUGCAUUUCCACCUGUUCUCAGACUGACCCUUUGCUCAUCACAAUAGUGAAAAAAAACACAGCCCUGGGUGGAGAUUUAAGAUGCUAAUGAGUCAUGAGAUGUAUGAACAAGCAUGUACAGCUACUGCACACGUGCACCCAGAAGACCGCCCAGAACAUGCUUGCUAGUAACACCUCUUCCCACCCACCUCCUGUGAAUAAUCAUGUAAGACUCCCAUAAAGGGAGUUUCUCCAGCAGUGAUCAAUGCUGUCUCAUCCUUAGGAGCAGCCCACCCUGAAUCCUCUCAGGGUGUACAGUUUAUUUUGCACUUAACUUUCAAAAUAAUAUUUUUCCUUUGUAAUAAAUUGCUUUGUACUUCAUCUCCUUUGCUGCGUGUUUCUUGUUUAAAUUCUUUUAAAUGAAGAAGUCAAGAACCAAGGUAUUACAACAGCCGUCAACAUUUCCGGUGCCAUGACUCAGAGGUUUGUCUGCUUCGUUGGUUUCAGUUUCCCUUCACUACUGGGCCGUCGUUCACCCUCCUCCACCUUGUCCCCUGCACUGGGAG
rnacentral:lncRNA from 1 species